GACGAACGCUGGCGGCGUGCUUAACACAUGCAAGUCGAACGGAAGGGCCCUGCUUUUGUGGUGUUCUCGAUUGGCGAACGGGUGAGUAACACGUGUGUAACCUGCCCUUGUCUUUGGGAUAACUUCAGGAAACUGGGGCUAAUACCGUAUAGGAUCUCCUGCUCCAUUGUGGGCGUUGGAAAUUUUCGGCGGUUGGGGUUGGACUCGCGGCUUAUGAGCUUGUUGGUCGGGUAGUGGCUUACCAAGCGUUUGACGGGUAGCCGGCCUGGGAGGGGGGCCGGGGACAUUAGGCCUGAGAGAGGGAGCAGAGUGGUACGGGAGGCAACAGUGGGAAAUAUGACCCAGUGAGAGGGCGUGUGAUGAGGAGGCGUUGCGUGCGUGAAGACGGCCUUUGGGUUGAGAACAGCUUUCGCCUGAGACGAAGCGUGAGUGACGGUAAUGAGUAAAGAAGCACCGGCUAACUACGUG
rnacentral:rRNA from 1 species